UACGUAGGGGGCGAGCGUUGUCCGGAUUUAUUGGGCGUAAAGAGCGUGUAGGCGGCCAGGUAGGUCUGCUGUGAAAACUCGAGGCUCAACCUCGAGACGUCGGCGGAAACCAUCUGGCUAGAGUCCGGAAGAGGAGAGUGGAAUUCCUGGUGUAGCGGUGAAUGCGCAGAUAUCAGGAAGAACACCCGUGGCGAAGGCGGCUCUCUGGUACGUGACUGACGCUGAGACGCGAAAGCGUGGGGAGCAAACAGG
rnacentral:rRNA from 1 species